rnacentral:lncRNA from 1 species
GGCGGAGGAAGGGUCGGGGGGCCCUGUGACCCGCAGAGCUCUGGAGGGACUCUGGGGGGGCAGAGGAAGGGUCGGGGGGCCUCGGGAGCCCCUCCUUGGGCACUGCCUGAAGAGGGCAGGAGGGUCAGAGCCGGGGCAUGGCGGUCCUGGGCCCAAACACUCACCUUGUCCUCUCUUCUUCCCCAGGCAGAAGCCGCCUCCUGUCCCUGGUGAGUACCGGCCGCCGCCUGGACUGGGAUCUGUUUGCGACAAGCCGCGGCGCCCCCCACAAGGCCGGAGCCCCUGGAGGGCUGGCGGGUCCGCCCGGCGUGCUCUGGAGAAGCUGGAGGGAGCUCCCAGUGAUCAGCUUCCUCAAUCCGUGCAGAAGAGCGUGGGAACGGCCUGUCCAGGGACACAGGCAGGACUGGAACUCAAGCCCUGACUGAGCUCUCCGUGCCUGGCCCCAUUAGAAAGGACAAAGGAAGACUUCUCAAAAGCAGGGGAAGACUUGGAUGCACUGACGGGAGCCAUCAGGACAACAGUGACCCCAAGGCUGGAAAGGGAAUGGAAUGCAGAGAAUCCCAGGGACCCGGCGUGACUCUGGAGGACAGUGGACGCUUCAGCCUCUUUUUUAGGCUAAUUGAGUGAAGCAUCCCAGAGAGACCCUGUUGGGAAGCCGAGAUGCUACUGAACAGGAGACGUCCGUAAUAAUUCCAAUUGGUGACGACAGCAUUUCUUUAAGUUUGAAAAGUGCUUCCUGGGAUCUCCAUUGAUCCUCACCAUAAACCUGGGAGGCCGUGCUCUGAUGGCCCCCAUUUUACAGAUGAAAAAACCGAGAUGGAGGCUAGAACCUGCCCGGUUACCCCGCUAGCAAGAGACAAGGAACGACUAGAACUCGGCUCUUCCUGACUCCCCUCCUGCCCUGGAGCUCCUCAUCCAGCUGGCUUCCAUCAGCCUCAUCCGAGCUCUGAGGUCUCGAGAUCGGGUCUUGCUUGGCUUCUUCGUGCCCGGCUUCUCUUGGCCGGUAC